GGGGGGGGUCUAAACUGCAGUCGAGCGAACAGAUAAGGAGCUUGCUCCUUUGACGUUAGCGGCGGACGGGUGAGUAACACGUGGGUAACCUACCUAUAAGACUGGAAUAACUCCGGGAAACCGGGGCUAAUGCCGGAUAACAUAUACAACCGCAUGGUUCUAUACUGAAAGAUGGUUUUGCUAUCACUUAUACAUGGACCCGCGCCGUAUUAGCUGGUUGGAAGGGUAAUGGCUUACCAAGGCCACAAUACGUAGCCGACCUGAAAGGGUGAUCGGCCACCCGGGAACUGAAACACGGUCCAAACUCCUACGGGAGGCAGCAAUAGGGAAUCUUCCGCAAUGGGCGAAAGCCUGACGGAGCAACGCCGCGUGAGUGAUGAAGGGUUUCGGCUCGUAAAACUCUGUUAUUAGGGAAAAACAUAUGUGUAAGUAACUGUGCACAUCUUGACGGUACCUAAUCAAAAAGCCACGGCUAACUACGUGCCAGCAGCCGCGGUAAUACGUAGGUGGCAAGCGUUAUCCGGAAUUAUUGGGCGUAAAGCGCGCGUAGGCGGUUUCUUAAGUCUGAUGUGAAAGCCCACGGCUCAACCGUGGAGGGUCAUUGGAAACUGGGAAACUUGAGUGCAGAAGAGGAAAGUGGAAUUCCAUGUGUAGCGCUGAAAUGCGCAGAGAUAUGGAGGAACACCAGUGGCGAAGGCGACUUUCUGGUCUGUAACUGACGCUGAUGUGCGAAAGCGUGAGGAUCAAACAGGAUUAGAUACCCUGCUAGUCCACGCCGUACACGAUGAGUGCUAGGUGCUAGGGGUUUGCGCCCCGUAGCUGCUGCAGCUACGCAUCAGCUACUCGCUGGGGAGUACGACGCAGCUGAUACUCAACGAUGGACGGCACGCACAAGCGUUGAACUAUGUGCUACUUCGGAGCAACGCGUUAAGACAAUCU
rnacentral:rRNA from 1 species